rnacentral:rRNA from 1 species
GACGAACGCUGGCGGCGUGCCUAAUACAUGCAAGUCGAACGAAGCUGUUUUAACUGGUGCUUGCACCGACUUAAACAACUGAGUGGCGAACGGGUGAGUAACACGUGGGUAACCUGCCCCAAAGUGGGGGAUAACAUUUGGAAACAGAUGCUAAUACCGCAUAAUCACAGAAACCACAUGGUUUCUGUGUCAAAGAUGGUUUCGGCUAUCACUUUGGGAUGGACCCGCGGCGUAUUAGCUAGUUGGUAAGGUAAUGGCUUACCAAGGUAAUGAUACGUAGCCGAACUGAGAGGUUGAUCGGCCACAUUGGGACUGAGACACGGCCCAAACUCCUACGGGAGGCAGCAGUAGGGAAUCUUCCACAAUGGACGAAAGUCUGAUGGAGCAACGCCACGUGAGUGAAGAAGGUUUUCGGAUCGUAAAACUCUGUUGUCAGAGAAGAACGUGUGCGAGAGUAACUGUUCGUGCAGUGACGGUAUCUGGCCAGAAAGCCACGGCUAACUACGUGCCAGCCGCCGCAGUAA